AAUCAACGCUGGCGGCGUGCUUAAUACAUGCAAGUCAACUGAACUUAAGAUAGCAAUAUUUUAAGGGAGGUGGCGCACGGGUGAGUAACACGUAGGUAAUCUGCCUUUAGGACUGACAUAACCCAGAGAAAUCUGGGCUAAUAUCAGAUGAUGCAGCGGCUCGACAUCGAGACAGUUGUUAAACCUUCGGGGCCUAGAGAUGAGCCUGCGUCUGAUUAGGUAGUUGGCGGGGUAACGGCCCACCAAGCCUACGAUCAGUAACUGGUGUGAGAGCACGACCAGUCACACGGGCACUGAGACACGGGCCCGACUCCUACGGGAGGCAGCAGUAAGGAAUAUUGGUCAAAUGGACGAAAGUCUGAACCAGCCAUGCCGCGUGAAGGAUGAAGGUCCUCUGGAUUGUAAACUUCUUUUAUCUGGGACGAAAAAAGGGAAUUCUUUUCUCACUUGACGGUACCAGAAGAAUAAGCACCGGCUAAC
rnacentral:rRNA from 1 species